rnacentral:rRNA from 1 species
GAUGAACGCUGGCGGCGUGCUUAACACAUGCAAGUCGAACGAUGAAGCCCAGCUUGCUGGGUGGAUUAGUGGCGAACGGGUGAGUAACACGUGAGUAACCUGCCCUUAACUCUGUGAUAAGCCUUGGAAACUGGGUCUAAUACCGGAUAGGAGCGUCCACCGCAUGGUGGGUGUUGGAAAGAUUUAUCGGUUUUGGAUGGACUCGCGGCCUAUCAGCUUGUUGGUGAGGUAAUGGCUCACCAAGGCGACGACGGGUAGCCGGCCUGAGAGGGUGAACAGCCACACUGGGACUGCGACACGGACCAGAGUCCUACGGGAGGCAGCAGUGGCGAAUAUUGCCCAAUGGGCUCAAGCCUGAUGCAGCGACGCCGCGUGAGGGAUGACGGCCUUCGGGUUGUAAAACUCUUUAAGUAGGGAAGAAGCGAAAGUGACGGUACCUGCAGAAGAAGCACCGGCUAACUACGUG